GAUGAACGCUGGCGGCGUGCUUAACACAUGCAAGUCGAACGAUGAAGCCCAGCUUGCUGGGUGGAUUAGUGGCGAACGGGUGAGUAACACGUGAGUAACCUGCCCUUAACUCUGGGAUAAGCCUGGGAAACUGGGUCUAAUACCGGAUAGGAGCGUCCACCGCAUGGUGGGUGUUGGAAAGAUUUAUCGGUUUUGGAUGGACUCGCGGCCUAUCAGCUUGUUGGUGAGGUAAUGGCUCACCAAGGCGACGACGGGUAGCCGGCCUGAGAGGGUGACCGGCCACACUGGGACUGAGAAACGGCCCAGACUCCUACGGGAGGCAGCAGUGGGGAAUAUUGCACAAUGGGCGCAAGCCUGAUGCAGCGACGCCGCGUGAGGGAUGACGGCCUUCGGGUUGUAAACCUCUUUCAGUAGGGAAGAAGCGAAAGUGACGGUACCUGCAGAAGAAGCACCGGCUAACUACGUG
rnacentral:rRNA from 1 species